CGCAGGCGGCCAGGUAAGUCGAAUGUGAAAGCCCCCGGCUCAACUGGGGAGGGUCAUUCGAUACUGCUUGGCUUGAAGGUAGGAGAGGGAAGCGGAAUUUCAGGUGUAGUGGUGAAAUGCGUAGAUAUCUGAAGGAACACCAGUGGCGAAGGCGGCUUUCUGGCCUAUUCUUGACGCUGAGGCGCGAAAGCUAGGGGAGCGAACG
rnacentral:rRNA from 1 species